rnacentral:rRNA from 1 species
CCUACGGGAGGCAGCAGUAGGGAAUCUUCCGCAAUGGACGAAAGUCUGACGGAGCAACGCCGCGUGAGCGAAGAAGGUCUUCGGAUCGUAAAGCUCUGUUGUUAGGGAAGAACAAGUACCGUUCAAAUAGGGCGGUACCUUGACAGUACCUAACCAGAAAGCCACGGCUAACUACGUGCCAGCAGCCGCGGUAAUACGUAGGUGGCAAGCGUUAUCCGGAAUUAUUGGGCGUAAAGCGCGCGCAGGCGGUCCUUUAAGUCUGAUGUGAAAGCCCACGGCUCAACCGUGGAGGGUCAUUGGAAACUGGGGGACUUGAGUGCAGAAGAGGAGAGCGGAAUUCCACGUGUAGCGGUGAAAUGCGUAGAGAUGUGGAGGAACACCAGUGGCGAAGGCGGCUCUCUGGUCUGUAACUGACGCUGANGCGCGAAAGCGUGGGGAGCGAACAGGAUUAGAUACCCUGGUAGUCCACGCCGUAAACGAUGAGUGCUAAGUGUUAGAGGGCUUCCGCCCUUUAGUGCUGCAGCAAACGCAUUAAGCACUCCGCCUGGGGGAUACGGUCCCAAGACUGAAACUCAAAUGAAUUGACGGGG